rnacentral:snoRNA from 1 species
AGGCAUGCUUUGGCCCAAGGCCAUUCGGGUCCUCACUCUAUGAAUGUAGUGGGGACGAGUAAAAGCAUGCUAGAUUAACACCCAAACAUUUGGGAGUUAACAGGGCCACCAGCCUUUCAAGUCCAGGCUGAGUUGGUAGUAUAAUGCUCCCACAGUA